rnacentral:rRNA from 1 species
UGAUCCUGGCUCAGGACGAACGCGGCGGCGUGCCUAAUACAUGCAAGUCGAGCGAGUGAAAUCAUCAGAAGCCUUCGGGUGGAGAUGAUGGAUCUAGGCGGCGGACGGGUGAGUAACACGUAGGCAACCUGCCUGUAAGACGGGGAUAACUCCGGGAAACCGGAGCUAAUACCGGUGACUCUUUUUCUCGCAUGAGAGGGAGCUGAAAGGUGGCGCAGCUACCGUUACAGAUGGGCCUGCGGCGCAUUAGCUAGUUGGUGAGGUAACGGCUCCACCAAGGCGACGAGCGUAGCCGACCUGAGAGGGUGAUCGGCCACACUGGGACUGAGACACGGCCCAGACUCCUACGGGAGGCAGCAGUAGGGAAUCUUCGGCAAUGGACGCAAGUCUGACCGAGCAACGCCGCGUGAGUGAGGAAGGUUUUGGAUUGUAAAACUCUGUUGUUAGGAAGACAAUAUCGGUUGAAUAAGCCGGUACCCUGACGGUACCUAACGA